AGUUCUGGCGUCAGGAUGAACGCUGGCGGCGUGCUUAACACAUGCAAGUCGAACGGAGUAUUAACGCUGCAGAGAUUCGGUCGAAGCUUGUUAAUACUUAGUGGCGGACGGGUGAGUAACGCGUGGGUAACCUGCCGUAUGCAGGGGGACAACAGUUGGAAACGGCUGCUAAUACCGCAUAAGCGCACAGUAUUGCAUGAUACAGUGUGAAAAGAUUUAUCGGCAUACGAUGGACCCGCGUUUGAUUAGCUAGUUGGUGAGGUAACGGCUCACCAAGGCGACGAUCCAAUAGCCGGCCUGAGAGGGCAAUCGGCCACAUUGGGACUGAGACACGGCCCAAACUCCUACGGGAGGCAGCAGUGGGGAAUAUUGCACAAUGGGGGAAACCCUGAUGCAGCCGACGCCGCGUGAGUGAAGAAGUAUUUCGGUAUGUAAAGCUCUAUCAGCAGGGAAGAUGAUGACGGUACCUGACUAAGAAGCCCCGGCUAACUACGUGCCAGCCGCCGC
rnacentral:rRNA from 1 species